CCUGGUAGUGAGGGAUAACGCUCGGAAACGGACGCUAAUACCGCAUACGUCCUACGGGAGAAAGCAGGGGACCUUCGGGCCUGCGCUAUCAGAUGAGCCUAGGUCGGAUUAGCUAGUUGGUGAGGUAAUGGCUCACCAAGGCGACGAUCCGUAACUGGUCUGAGAGGAUGAUCAGUCACACUGGAACUGAGACACGGUCCAGACUCCUACGGGAGGCAGCAGUGGGGAAUAUUGGACAAUGGGCGAAAGCCUGAUCCAGCCAUGCCGCGUGUGUGAAGAAGGUCUUCGGAUUGUAAAGCACUUUAAGUUGGGAGGAAGGGCAGUUACCUAAUACGUAAUUGUUUUGACGUUACCGACAGAAUAAGCACCGGCUAACUCUGUGCCAGCAGCCGCGGUAAUACAGAGGGUGCAAGCGUUAAUCGGAAUUACUGGGCGUAAAGCGCGCGUAGGUGGUUCGUUAAGUUGGAUGUGAAAUCCCCGGGCUCAACCUGGGAACUGCAUUCAAAACUGACGAGCUAGAGUAUGGUAGAGGGUGGUGGAAUUUCCUGUGUAGCGGUGAAAUGCGUAGAUAUAGGAAGGAACACCAGUGGCGAAGGCGACCACCUGGACUGAUACUGACACUGAGGUGCGAAAGCGUGGGGAGCAAACA
rnacentral:rRNA from 1 species